rnacentral:rRNA from 1 species
AACGAACGCUGGCGGCAUGCCUAACACAUGCAAGUCGAACGAGACCUUCGGGUCUAGUGGCGCACGGGUGCGUAACGCGUGGGAACCUGCCCUUAGGUUCGGAAUAACUCCCCGAAAGGGGUGCUAAUACCGGAUAAUGUCUUCGGACCAAAGAUUUAUCGCCUUUGGAUGGGCCCGCGUUGGAUUAGCUGGUUGGUAGGGUAAAAGCCUACCAAGGCGACGAUCCAUAGCUGGUCUGAGAGGAUGAUCAGCCACACUGGGACUGAGACACGGCCCAGACUCCUACGGGAGGCAGGAGUGGGGAAUAUUGGACAAUGGGCGAAAGCCUGAUCCAGCAAUGCCGCGUGAGUGAUGAAGGCCUUAGGGUUGUAAAGCUCUUUUACCCGGGAUGAUAAUGACAGUACCGGGAGAAUAAGCGCCGGCUAACUCCGUG